rnacentral:rRNA from 1 species
UACAGAGGUCUCAAGCGUUGUUCGGAUUCAUUGGGCGUAAAGGGUGCGUAGGUGGCGCGCUAAGUCAGGUGUGAAAUUUCGGAGCUUAACUCCGAAACUGCAUUUGAUACUGGCGUGCUUGAGGACUGGAGAGGAGACUGGAAUUCACGGUGUAGCGGUGAAAUGCGUAGAUAUCGUAAGGAAGACCAGUGGCGAAGGCGGGUCUCUGGACAGUUCCUGACGCUGAGGCACGAAGGCCAGGGGAGCAAACGGG